GGAGCCUCUUUGCACAAGGGGCGGGUGAAAGGCUGGCUCUGGUAGUUACGUAAUGCGCGUGCGCGCCUGAGCCGGCGUCAGCGCCGUCGGACCCACUGCUUGCUGGGAGGGCCGCCGGGAAACCUUGGACCUUCUUGUCCUAUGCCACUUCACCAGAGUCCUUACCCGGCCGGAAUCAUUAGAAUAAAAUGCACUGUCGUCCACAACUUAAGGGGACGCUGGAAAAUUUCGUCGACCCAGCACUCGUAGAAGAUUCUGUCCUGUUCUUGCUCUCCGCACCCAGCACACGCGGCGGCCCCGACUCCCCAGUCCCCUAGGACGGAUUAGUUCCUCACAUACAAGCCUGGGGCAGUUGAGCACUAUUCAGCGGCCUCCCUUCAUCCUCCGCUCAGCUGUCAAAUUAAUCUUCCCAAAUCUUCCAGGCUCCUCAGGCACCCUUCUAUUCAAGAACCAUGACAUCGGGGAAGGGAUGCCAGGACAUGCAAGUGAAUUGAAUUUGAAGGAGGGAGCUGUCUUACUUUACCCUCCAGAGCCAUCUGGGUCAAGAUGCGGCCAAGAUACAGAUCAAGAGGACUGGAGAUGGCCCUGGAUGCAGUGCGAGACUUUGGCCUUUUUAAAUUAAGGUCUUAAACAGAUCUCAGUUUGAGUGAGGUAAAGUCCAAUCAGUAAUAAAGGCUCAAGAAUGGACUCUUUUACCUAGUUACUCCCUCUCCCCCCAAAAAAAUCAGUUUGGGAGCAGCAGGGUUUCUGGCACAAACCAAAACAAUUGCUAUUUACAUUCAGAGCCAAUUAGGGCCCAAACAAUGACAACUUGGGUGUGGCCUGGAACCUGUUGUUGGCUAGGAGAUUCUGGUUUGAGGCCAGGUGUUAUAACUUAAAGCAAGUGGUUUCAUUCUUUUCUGGAGAACUUACAGUUCUUGGAUAAAAGACCCGGUUGCUUUUAUUUAAAUAAACUGCUUUCACACUUAUAAAUAUGAUUGUUUCUCCUAGUCUCUUGCCCUAGACCAAAGAAUAUUUUCUUACUUUAAUAAAUCUUGUCAUUUGCAUUUCAAAUACUUUCCUUUUCUCCUUAAACUUCUUUUUCUAACACUUCUACUUCUGUGAUAACUUUUCCAUCCUAAAUUGCUGCAAGAAGCUGCUGACCGACAGUAUACUCCAAUUGGCCUCAAAAGGUUAUAAAAACCAAUCUGUACUCCAAGAAUCUUGAGUUUGUUUGCAGCAAGAAUAGAUUCUUUAGCAUGCUAAUUUCUUUACUUUCAGUUUGGCCUUCUAUCUUUGACCCAUAGUAACCAGGCCCCAAAUGAUUUGUCUGCCUUAAGAGGUCAAGAGAAUUCUCCAAUAGUAUCUUGUUUUCCCAACUACUGUGAGUAACUUAAGUGAAGUGGUUUUUUGCCUUUCUUUGUAUUCACUAAGCAAUGUGUCCCUAGUACAUAGGUGCUUAAUAAAUGCUAAUUGACAAAUUCAGAGACAAAUUAGAAAGAUGCUUCAGCCUUUAAAUAUGUUUCCCAACUUAGGUUAGUAAUGGAUAUUUUGAGAAGUUGGGAUUCUUGUAAGCAAAUACUUCUAUGUGAGACUAAAAUGAUAGAAGCAUGAAAAAUGAUUUUCUGGUUCAUCGAUGCUGUUUGUAAUUGCUCUCAAGAGCUUUAACAAUUUUCUCCAUCUAGAGAUAAUCAUUUUUUCUAAUAUUCUGAGACAUCACUCCAUUUUCCCAAUAAAGCAGCCUAACUGAUUAGUUAGUGUUGAUUUCUUUAAAAAAAAAAAAAAAAAGCCUUUGGAGCAUAAAUAAUGAUAUUUCACUAAGAAGUUAUUUUAGACCUGUUAAUGGAAACUAUUAUGUCCAAAAGUCACUUCCUUGCUUUUUCUGAUGAUGAACUUUUAGAGAAACAGUGAUUGGAAAUGAGGGAAGAGCCACAGUUUAUCUGUGGAAAAGUUUGUGGUUGCCCAUCAAACUCAUCCUAAUCUACCUCCCACCCAUCUUUUUGAACUGAUUUUCCUUUUCUUCAUGUCCACUAACCCAGUAUAGUUCUUGUCCAUGUUCUCCCAAAGAACAUGUUAGUCACUCACCAGUCCUUUUCAUCGCAAUCUACCUCCCACCUAUCUUUCUGAAUUGACUUUACUUUUCUUCGUGUUCUUUAAUCAUAUAUGAUUUUUUAAACACAUAUGUUCUCCCAUUGAUUCUCCACAGAAGAUCUGCCCAAACUGCUUGAAGCCUUUCUUUAGAUAUUUUUGUUUCAAGAGUACCAGUGGAAUAUUCUGACUGACUGGCUGGCUGUUCAUCCUUCAUUCUUGCUACAUGAUUGAAUUUCCAUUUCUAAUUGUUAAGUUCCUUAUUAUCCCUAACAUAACUUCUUAAACAUAGAUUAUAACUAUUAGCAUGUUGCUUGCCAUCAUUUUCUUUAUUGCUCUAUUUCAGUUGGGAUUUUCAGUCAGUCAAUAAAUGUGUGUGAAGCACUAUGUUAAGUAUUGUAAAUAUGAAGGCCAAAAAAAGUUACUUAUUCUUGUAAGAAUUGUUAAUCUAAUCAAUUCUUUGGAAAGUUUGGUGUUUUAAGUUCCAAAAUUAUCCAGUAUUCAUUAGUGGAAGUUCAUUUGUAUGGAAAUGAGGAUUUUGUGGCAGAGAGCACUAUGGAAUUUUUUUUUUUUUAAUUAUACAAUCUUUCAAAUACAA